UUUGACUUUCUCGUAUAACAUUGGUUUCUCCAAUCGAUAUCUUUGUCGGCGAUGUCUGUUGUUCUGCAAGAUUUUCUUAAACGCCUGUGAUUUUUUCAUUAAAAGGAUUAUAGAAGAUAGAUCUACUGAUUACGCUCGAAGAUCAUAGCAUACGAAGGUUGGGAAUAUGAAGAUCCUUCUAUCUGAUUGCUAAAGCCCAUAACCUGUAAAAACAUGAAGAAAACACCUCGUUGAAGUUACCAAUGAGUAAAGAAUGCGGAGAAGGUCUUUUUGUUCACGGUUUGCAAGUAAUAGUUCAUAGGAGUUUCGUGUUGAUUUCAGAUAUUUAUUCGUUGCAAAGGUGAGUCUAAUUUAUAAUUUCACUAGAGUCGGCCCGCCCUACGGGCGGGAUAUUGACUAUUUUUUAUUUCCGUAAAACUGUUUUUUGUGCACAAAUUCAUUUAUGCUGGACAAACAAAUAAAAAAUAUAUUUUAAAAUUUCAUAAUUUUUUUGGUUUAUUUUUAAUUAUAAUUUUCACUAUUUUUUACUAAUAUAUUUGACUAUUUCUUUUCCUUUGAUUUAGAAAUCAUAUAUUUGUUACUAUAUUAAAACAAAUAUAUAUAUAUAUAUAUUUAACUGUGUUCAAAAUAUUUAGUUUUCUUGAAUUUAAUAGAUUUUUAAUACAUUUCUUCUUAAAUUUUAUAAUUUAAAUAAUUAGAGAAAGAAAAUCCAAUUUAUUAUCUUUUUUCUUUAAAAAAUAAGCAAGUAGCAUAAAAUAUGAUAUUAACUGUUUCUGUUUAAUAUUUAUAAAUAACAUUUUAGGUUAUAUAUUUAUGAGUUAUUAUAUUUGAGUAAAAUAUAUGUUUAUGUUGUUUUUUUAUAACUCUACACUUUAUUUACUUGAAUGUUAAAAAAAAAAAAAAAAAAAAAAAAAAAAAAAAAGAAUGUUUAUGUUGUUUUUAUUCUUCAAACUCACAUCAACAAAAAUUUGAAAUAAUGAAUUCCACAGUUGUUUUCCUUUUCUACCACCAAAAUAUAGGCUAAACUAAUAAAAAAUAGAAAACCAUAACUAUUUGAUGUAUUGUUAACUACAAAGACUAUUUACUUGAUUUUUUCAAAAAAGACUAUUUACUUGAUUAAAUAAAGUAGUUGAUUGUAAUUUGUAGUAAUUAUAUAUCUUCUCAAAUUAAAACCAGAUAAUUAAUGGUGGUGAAUUACUGAACAAACAUGAUUAAUAUCCACAAACAUAUAUAGGUGGUCUUUGAAAAAUAGAAAAUGAAUCAUCCAAAAUAUCAUAAAAUAAUAUCUAUAAAUUACUAAUAUAUUUUUCAGAAUUUUCAUUAACAUUAUUUAGUAACUAUAAUAUAUGUUUUCAGUAUUAGGAAAAUAUAUACAUACUAAAUCCCCUAUAUAUUAUUUGAGAAACAUUUAGGAAAUUAGAACCUUAAUUUUGUAAGAAUUAAAAAAAAGCCCAAUGCUGAUGUGUCAAUCAAUUAGGUAGUUAAUUAGAAAAAAAGAAGGUCCAAAUUCAAUUAAUAUGUUUCCCUAGAGACAUUAAAUCAUUAACUAUAUGAUAUGAAUUAAUAGAGAACCAGCAUAUGAUAUCAGAGCGAGCGUAUUUCAUCACAAAGCAUUAACAAAAUUAUUAACAAAAAAAACAAAGCAUUAACAAAAAAAAUAAAAACUAAACCUUACCAUCGGUCUUCCCUCGGUAUCAAUCUGAGCUUCUCCGGCGAUGGUAUCAGGCUCUCCGGUUGCAACUGUGUUCACAAUUAAGCCACCGCACCUCCUCCAUGGUUCUCCAUCUUCGUCAAUCUCCGGUCACAUCCACGCAAUCCACCACGGAAGCUCUGGAAUCGCCAUGCUCGCUCCAUCGUGGCGUCGUCGCGUGAAGAGGCUCGCCGUCGUCCUCACCCGAUCCGGCGAGAAGAAGAUCGAAGAACUCCAAUGGCUGGUUUCUUCAUAUUUGCAUACCCAAUCCCUGAGGUUUUAAUUAAUAUCCAUUUGGACCCAAACUUUGAAAUGUUCAGAAAGGUCCUCGCGAAUCAAUCCAUAAACUUUUGAUUGUACAACCUAACCCAAGAGAAUAUUCCAAAACUGCAACCUUGGUCCCUGAAUUCUUGCCUUCUUCCGUUUUGGCCCAGAAGUUUCUGAUUUGCAAUUAUAACCUCUCAAUUGACCCCAAACAUUCAAAUUGUGCACUCCAUUCCCUAAUGCACACAUAUGACCAAAUGUAUACAAUGUAAACACCUAAAUAUGCAAUCUAAUGAUCAAAAUGCAUUAAACUAAGACAUACUUUAUUAUAUUACUAAUAAAAUAAUAAUUAGAACACUGCUCUUCUAUUUCAUCACGUCGGUCCAUUUUAUAUGCAUAUCACAUUGUUUAAUCGUUGCCAUAAAACAUAAGGUUGAACAUCCCCUAUAUAUUAUAGGAAUAUCAUUUAAAAAAUUAUAACCUCAAUUUUGUACUAAUUAAAAAACAUCAUUGCUUAUGUGUCAGUUAAUUAAGCUGUUAAUUUUGCUUACGUGCCAGUCUAGAAAUAAAUUGGAAAUUAUGUUUGUCCAAAUCCAGUUGCUAGGCAAUAUAUGUACACGGGAUAGGAAAUAUAAUUAAUGAUAUAAAACAUAUAAACUUUAAUUUAGUGUAAGAACAUGAUUGUAACUACUCGAGCUUAGUCUACGAAGACCUGGCGAAUGAAAAACAUUAGUCGAUCAUAAGAACAUGAUUGCAACAAGUUAACAAACAAUAUCAACGUUGGGAACCUAAAAGUUGAGAACAAUCACUUAUAUAUUAAUUGAGAAAUAUUACAACCUUUGAGUGUAGUCACAUGUCAUCACCAGAAUGAAAUCCAGAAUCCUUAGAAAAUAUGUUGGUCCAAUUAAGUAUAUAUUAAAGUUUUCAUAUAACUAAGCAUAAAAUUAAUUAAAGUAUACAAUUACUAUUUUAUUUUCUUUCCUUAAAUAAAAGUUACGAAAUUACCAAAUAUGACUAAUAUAUAAAUGACAAUUAAUUAUUGUAAUAAUAAAGAUUUGAUAACAAUCUAUAUCCCCUCCAUCAUUUUUUUUUAAUUUUAUAUAAUUAAAAUAAAUUAAACAAUCAAAUUAGAUAUAAAAUUAAAAUUUAGAUUUUAUUUUGGCAUAUGUCAUAUUUUGAAUUUAAAAAAACCACAAUAAAUUACUAAAAUUGUUAAAAUUCUUAUGUUAAAAAUUAAUGAUCAACGGUUUAACAUCAUUUAUAUAUUAAUUGAGAAACAUUACAACAUUGUUUUGUAGUUACGUGUCACCAUGAAAAUAAAAUUCAGAAUUCUUUGAAAAUAGGUUGGUCCAUCUUAAUUUAUAUUAUAUUUUUUAUUAAACUAACUAUCAAAUAGAUAAAUAGUGUACAAAAAAAAAUUCUCGCACUCUCCUUAAAUAAAAGUUGCGGAAUUACCUAAUAUGAUUAACGUAUAUAUGACAAUUAAUGAUUAUGAAUAAUAAAUAUUUGAUAACAAUUUUUGUAUCUUAGCUUUUUUGUUUAUUUUUAUAUUAUUAGAAGAUAUUAAACAAUCACAUUAACCAUAUAAUAAAAAAUUAGAUUUGUUUCUUAUAUGUUAUAUUUUGAAUUUUUUAAAACGACCAUACAUUAUUAGAAAGAUUAAAAUCUCACUUUGAAAUUUUUGUGAUCAAUUGCUUAAUUUGUUUUAUUAUAAAAAGAUACAAAUGAUCAUAAAAUUGUAUUAAUAUUGAUUUUUAUUUAAUAAAUAUUCAAAUUAAAUAAUAUAUAUAUACACAUAUAUUCAACUAACAACUUAAAGCAAGAAAAUUGGUUCUAUCAAUUUAGACAUCCCGUUGAAACCCUUCAAAACUAUGUGGAAUACUAUGGUUAAAGUAAUUUGAUUUUGUAAAUAAUACUAAGUUGCUGGUUCUAAAACCAUUAAAAUGAUUCUCAGUGAUGUUAAAGUAAUGUAUUAAAAAAAAUUGUAUGACAUGUUUUGUAAUAAAAAUUCACUUGAUAACCACAUUACGAAUUUUAUAGGUAUGAAAAAGAUGAUAAAAAUUUUAAGCCCAAAUCGAUUAUGUUCAUCAUAAAUUUAAAAUAGAUUUCUGUCCACAAUUUCAGUUACAAUUACAAAUGCCCAGUCCAACAUAUAGAUGAUUAUAUAAACAAAACAUAAUUGUAUGCAUAUUAAAAAAAUUCAAACACAUAUACAUAUUUAAUUUGUCAAUACUAUAUAUUUUUAAUCUCCUAUAUAUUAAAGGAGAAGCAUUCUAAGAAAUAUGUUCAUACUAUAAUGGACACAUGUCAGUCUCACAAUGAUUUGAGAAUAAGCAUUCACACUCUACAUAAAUGUUUUCACACUAUGUACUUUAUGUUUUGUUUUUAAUAUAAAAUUCACAUGUAAGGUUCCAAAAAAAUAUAAAUUUUAAAAUCUAAUUCAACAAUAGAAUAUUAAGACAUGAUAAAAACAAUCCAAAACCAACUAACAUUCAAACUAAGGCUGUUCAAUAUGUAUAACAACGCAUGAAUAUAUAUUUGUUAUAUAAGUUGAACUAUAAUUAUAAUUUGUAAAUCACAUGAACUAUAAUUAAGUAACAAUUCACUGCAACUGAGGCUUCUUAUUUUCUUAGUCUUUUUUUUUAUCUCUAUGCUUUAUUUUAACAUUGACUAAAUUGAAGUAAAGAUUAUAAAUUUGAUGACAAAAAUUAGCUAAAAUUCUAUACAAUUUUUUAUCUUUAAACAAACAGUACUGUGUUCAAUCGAAGACAUAUGAAUUUGAAGAACACUAAAUAUGGAAGAAUAGAAAAAAGUUUUAUAUCGUGCUUCUGUUUUGUUCUUUAUUUUUAUUUUCAAAAUUUAGAGUUUUGAUAUUAAUUCUAGAUUUGAUUAUUUUAUUAGAUGAUAAAACCGUUUUUUAUUCUUUUAUUUAACUAUAUAAUAUUUUUUUAAUAAAUGACUUUUUGUCAACAUGACUCUAGAAUUUGUAUAAUAUAUAAUAUGAUCUCAAACUAAAUAAUUAUGUUUUUGGUAUAAAACCGAAUAAACUAAAAACCGACGGUAUAUAAACCGAACAGAACCGAACUAAAUAUGGAUUUAUAAUAGUAAUUAUAUUUUACUAACCGAAAUACCAAAAACCGAAAAAAACAAACCAAACCGAUAUCCGGAUUGAACACCCCUAAUCCAAAUGAAACCUAACUAUUGUUUCAUUCUCUAAAACAUAAUGAAAAUAACAAUUUCAUCCCGCGCAAAGCGCAUGUCUUAUCCUAGUUAUCCAUUAUAUAAAAAGAAAUGUAAAACCUCCUAAAAGCUGCUGUGUCCAAAUGUGAACCCUUUAACAGAAAAAGUUGGCGUUCCAUAAACCCCUCUUAUUAUGUAAAAUUUUUAAAUUGUAAUGAUAUUUUUUUUUAAAUUGAUGUAAUGAAAGGCAAUGGUAAAAGCCUACCAAGAAAGCUACUUACUCUUAACAAUUUUUUUUCUAUUUGAAAUCCUUUUGUCGACUUCUCAGAGUUUCAGCCGCAACUCAGCGUCUUAGGCAAAUCCUUAGUUGAAAUCCUUAGGUUUAGGACAAUAUUAUAUGAUUAAAUAUUUAACUGUAGCUAAGGAAGAGUCCUAAACUAAGGUCAUUAGGACAUCUCCAACCUUACUUCAUUUUCUACUCCAAACAUCAUUUUGGAGUCAAAUCUUCUCCAACCCCACUCCAUUUUCAACUCUAAAAUGGAGUAAUAGCUAGGGUUACUCCAUUUAUGGAAUAAUCUUACACAUUACUCCAUUUUGGAGUUGAAUUUUUUUAUUUAUGAAAUGGUCCUUUAAAUUUUUAAUAUUUUUAUUUAUUAUUUAGAUAAUAUUUUGAAAUGAUAUAAUAACGUGAAAAACAAGAUAUUUCAUUAUUUAAUAAUUUGACAUUCGCGCUUCGCUAUUGUGAAAGGACAUAUUCGUUUUUGGAAAAAAAUUGUUACAUUACAUCAUGACUACAUAUAUAAUUUUACACAACAUGAUAAUUAAGGAUGAGCGUGAACUCGAUGCACCAAUUGAAGUUGCAAGAGAAACUCCAACUCCAGAGAUCGAAACUGCAUAAGAUUAAAAUAUCCGAUUUUAAAAUUUUCUUACUCGACUUAGGAAUAUCAAAGAUAAAGAAGCUCAUUUUUCAUUACAAAAUGCAUUAGUUGAUCAUUUGUGAAAAAAAUAUUCUAAUGUUCAUUAUUGAACCAACUUAUCUAUUAUGUUUUAUUUUAUUUUUAUGAUUUCUUGUACCUAUUAAUAAUAAAUGUUUAAUUUAAAUAAAUUAUAUUUUAAGACAUUUUUGCAAAUAUAAAAUAGUUGGGGUUAAUUGGUAAAAUUUGAUAAGUAUAGAAUAUUAUUUACUAUUCUUAGAGAAAAAAAUGGAGUAAUACAUUGGAUUAAAACAUCUGGAGUUGCACCAUUUUGGAGUAAAAUUUGGAGUAAUACAUCGGAGAUGCUGUUAAGGAUCAAAUCCUUAAUGUGCUGGCACUCAACUAUUGGCUCACGAUUGAAAGAACGAUUUGAUCAAUCUCGAUAGAAGAAGAAGAUGUCGACUCUUUCAGCAGCCAGGGCAGAUAACUUUUACUACCCACCAGAAUGGACACCGGAUCAAGGUUCCUUGAACAAGUUUCAAGGACAGCAUCCUCUCAGAGAGAGGGCAAGGAAACUAGGCGAGGGGAUUUUGAUCAUAAGGUUCGAGAUGCCCUAUAAUAUAUGGUGUGGUGGCUGCAAUUCUAUGAUUGCCAAGGGUGUUCGAUUCAAUGCAGAGAAGAAGCAAGUUGCAGAGAAUUGGCAGGAGGGUUUUAGGACACUAAACAAAAAAAUAGUGUCUGAUGAGGAAGAUUGUGUGUUUGCAGUUGCUUCUUUCAGCUUCUAAAGACAAGACAGUUCGGUUAUGGAGAGUUGGUUCUGAUUUGUGUCUUCAUGUCUUUCAUCAUAACAACUACGAUGAGAAGAACAGUGAAAAAACUGGGUUUAUAGUUUUGUGAAGUUAGCAUAAUGCUAGAAGCCGUGGGAUUUAUAUUAAAGGUUCAACAAAAGGUUUCUCUAGAUACAAUAAGAAAACAUUGGUUCUUUAUCAACCAGCUGGCGACUUUCUUCCCAUGAUCCAUGAGAUAAACAAAUGUUUGUUUGCUUUGUUCUUUUUUUUUUUUCCGUCUAAUGGGUUAUAUUAAUGGGACAAAGCCCAGAAUCCACAUACAACCAAAAGCCCAAUUAAAAAGGCAAACCAAAACAACCACAAACAACAUGGGCCUAGAAGCCCAAACUCCCCUAAACCCACGACGCCGCGCGUCCACCAACGCGUCAGUCCUUUCUCGUCACGACGCCCACGCGUCAAGCACUAGCACGCGCUAGACUUCACCUCGAGAUCCGAAACAUCAACUCACGAGUCCAAAUGUCGAUGAUUGCCGGAAAGCCGAGGCAACCGCCGUUUACGCCAGAACUCGCCGGACCUGAAGCACCUGCACCCCUCAUCGUCGCCUAUUCUUCCACGGAGAGCUUCACCGGCACCUUACCGAGCUCUCAUCGAGGCUAGAGAUAGAAUCCAAUCGCAAACUUUAAACUCCACCGUCGCUUCUUUCCUCCGCGGGCACGACCGAAACCUCCCAGCCGUCGCAAUCCUCGGAUCAAAACACCAGCUUUCUAGCUACCACCCUCAAGUGAACAAGCUGAGCCCGCGACGCCAUCACCUUCGAGGAUAUUAAGAGAAUCGGAGAGCUUCAUCGGGGCGUACCCGAGAUCUCACCCGAGGCGUCACAGACCACUGUUUCAACAUCACCAUUUUCUUCCUCGGGGGAACUCGAUCGAAGAUUCGAGAUCUCCACCGGAUCUGAAAUAACAAACACCACAAAAAACGAACCACCGCCGGAGCAUAGAAAGCCUCCUCACCAAAAGAAACCCUAAAGCCACCCGUUCUCUUAAGAAGAUAAAGAGCCACGACGGCGCAGCUAAACCGACCGCCCACCAAAGAGAAGGUGCGACGACGGGAACCUUAGAACUACACAAAACCCAAAGGAAAGAGAGCUUUUAAAAAACACAGAAAGGGAAAUCCGGACCGACGGUCGGUGACUGUGAAAGCUCACACCGUCGGCCGGAACCGAAUAAUCCCGGCGGAGGUUUCUCUCUCUACAAUUCCUCUGUUUAAGAUGGUUCUCACCCAAAACUUGUUUGCUUUGUUCUUCUAUCUAUAUUUACACGAUAAUCAUUUUUUUUGUGCCACACAUGACUGAUACUUUUAUUUAAAAUGCUUUUAAUAUGUUCUUAAACAACUAGUGGAGAAAACCAAAUUAACACCAAGAGCGAAAGUGGACAACAACAAGUUUUAUCUAUCUGUACACUUCCAUUGUUUCGAUGAAAAGGAAUCAUGUCGUGAGAACCUGAAGUUAUUUUCAGCUACAUGAAACCAGAUGUUUCUUCUCCUUUACAGUGAACUCUUUUUUUUUUUCUCCCUCUCAAAGUACUUGUCUCAUGUAUUGCAGGUCUGUCUUUGUGGAGUUGUGUGCAAGCAUAUUGUCUUUUUUAUUAUUAUUUUUAUCUGAACACAUGCAAACCGAUUGUUUAUUAUCACACCUCACACUGUGAAGGUUUUGCUUUA